rnacentral:rRNA from 1 species
AGGGGAAUCUUGCACAAUGGAGGAAACUCUGAUGCAGCGACGCCGCGUGAGCGAAGAAGCCUUUCGGGGUGUAAAGCUCUUACGCCAGGGACGAUAAUGACGGUACCUGGAGAAGCAGCUGCGGCUAACUACGUGCCAGCAGCCGCGGUAAUACGUAGGCAGCAAGCGUUGUUCGGAAUUACUGGGCGUAAAGGGUGCGUAGGCGGCGCUCUAAGUUUGGUGUGAAAUCUCCCGGCUUAACUGGGAGGGUGCACUGAAAACUGGGGCGCUCGAGUAUGGGAGAGGAAAGCGGAAUUCCGGGUGUAGCGGUGAAAUGCGUAGAGAUCAGGAGGAACACCUGCGGUGCAGACGGCUUUCUGGACCAUCACUGACGCUGAGGCGCGAAAGAGUGGGUAGCAAACA